AUUGAACGCUGGCGGCAGGCCUAACACAUGCAAGUCGAGCGGCAGCGGGAAGGUAGCUUGCUACUUUUGCCGGCGAGCGGCGGACGGGUGAGUAAUGCCUGGGGAUCUGCCCAGUCGAGGGGGAUAACUACUGGAAACGGUAGCUAAUACCGCAUACGCCCUACGGGGGAAAGCAGGGGACCUUCGGGCCUUGCGCGAUUGGAUGAGCCCAGGUGGGAUUAGCUAGUUGGUGAGGUAAUGGCUCACCAAGGCGACGAUCCCUAGCUGGUCUGAGAGGAUGAUCAGCCACACUGGAACUGAGACACGGUCCAGACUCCUACGGGAGGCAGCAGUGGGGAAUAUUGCACAAUGGGGGAAACCCUGAUGCAGCCAUGCCGCGUGUGUGAAGAAGGCCUUCGGGUUGUAAAGCACUUUCAGCGAGGAGGAAAGGUUGGUAGCUAAUAACUGCCAGCUGUGACGUUACUCGCAGAAGAAGCACCGGCUAACUCCGUGCCAGCAGCCGCAGUAAUAC
rnacentral:rRNA from 1 species